AUACUCCGUAGUUCAGUGGUUAGAGCAUCCGACCGGUGUACAGAAGGUCAUGGGACAGGGUUCGACUCCCGUCGGGGACU